rnacentral:rRNA from 1 species
CGAACUCUGGUAUUGAUUGGUGCUUGCAUCAUGAUUUACAUUUGAGUGAGUGGCGAACUGGUGAGUAACACGUGGGAAACCUGCCCAGAAGCGGGGGAUAACACCUGGAAACAGAUGCUAAUACCGCAUAACAACUUGGACCGCAUGGUCCGAGUUUGAAAGAUGGCUUCGGCUAUCACUUUUGGAUGGUCCCGCGGCGUAUUAGCUAGAUGGUGGGGUAACGGCUCACCAUGGCAAUGAUACGUAGCCGACCUGAGAGGGUAAUCGGCCACAUUGGGACUGAGACACGGCCCAAACUCCUACGGGAGGCAGCAGUAGGGAAUCUUCCACAAUGGACGAAAGUCUGAUGGAGCAACGCCGCGUGAGUGAAGAAGGGUUUCGGCUCGUAAAACUCUGUUGUUAAAGAAGAACAUAUCUGAGAGUAACUGUUCAGGUAUUGACGGUAUUUAACCAGAAAGCCACGGCUAACUACGUGCCAGCAGCCGCGGUAAUACGUAGGUGGCAAGCGUUGUCCGGAUUUAUUGGGCGUAAAGCGAGCGCAGGCGGUUUUUUAAGUCUGAUGUGAAAGCCUUCGGCUCAACCGAAGAAGUGCAUCGGAAACUGGGAAACUUGAGUGCAGAAGAGGACAGUGGAACUCCNUGUGUAGCGGUGAAAUGCGUAGAUAUAUGGAAGAACACCAGUGGCGAANGCGGCUGUCUGGUCUGUAACUGACGCUGAGGCUCGAAAGUNUGGGUAGCAAACAGGNUUAGAUACCCUGGUAGUCCAUACCGUAAACGAUGAAUGCUAAGUGUUGGAGGGUUUCCGCCCUUCAGUGCUGCAGCUAACGCAUUAAGCAUUCCGCCUGGGGAGUACGGCCGCAAGGCUGAAACUCAAAGGAAUUGACGGGGGCCCGCACAAGCGGUGGAGCAUGUGGUUUAAUUCGAAGCUACGCGAAGAACCUUACCAGGUCUUGACAUACUAUGCAAAUCUNAGAGAUUANACGUUCCCUUCGGGGACAUGGAUACAGGUGGUGCAUGGUUGUCGUCAGCUCGUGUCGUGAGAUGUUGGGUUAAGUCCCGCAACGAGCGCAACCCUUAUUAUCAGUUGCCAGCAUUAAGUUGGGCACUCUGGUGAGACUGCCGGUGACAAACCGGAGGAAGGUGGGGAUGACGUCAAAUCAUCAUGCCCCUUAUGACCUGGGCUACACACGUGCUACAAUGGAUGGUACAACGAGUUGCGAACUCGCGAGAGUAAGCUAAUCUCUUAAAGCCNUUCUCAGUUCGGAUUGUAGGCUGCAACUCGCCUACNUGAAGUCGGAAUCGCUAGUAAUCGCGGAUCANCAUGCCGCGGUGAAUACNUUCCCGGGCCUUGUACACACCGCCCGUCACACCAUGAGAGUUUGUAACACCCAAAGUCGGUGGG